rnacentral:rRNA from 1 species
AUUGAACGCUGGCGGCAUGCCUUACACAUGCAAGUCGAACGGCAGCACGGGAGCAAUCCUGGUGGCGAGUGGCGAACGGGUGAGUAAAGUAUCGGAACGUGCCCAGUCGUGGGGGAUAACGUAGCGAAAGUUACGCUAAUACCGCAUACGAUCUAUGGAUGAAAGCGGGGGAUCGCAAGACCUCGCGCGAUUGGAGCGGCCGAUAUCAGAUUAGGUAGUUGGUGGGGUAAAGGCACACCAAGCCGACGAUCUGUAGCUGGUACGAGAGGACGACCCGCGCCCACGGGACUGAGACCCGGCCCAGACUCCGACGGGACGCAGCAGUGGGGAAUUUUGGACAAUGGGCGAAAGCCUGAUCCAGCCAUGCCGCGUGCAGGAUGAAGGCCUUCGGGUUGUAAACUGCUUUUGUACGGAACGAAAAGGUUUGGCCUAAUAAGCUGAGCUCAUGACGGUACCGUAAGAAUAAGCACCGGCUAACUACGUGCCAGCAGCCGCCGUAA